CGUGCAUUUAUCAGACCAAAAACCGGCCGCGUCUUCGGGCGCGUUCGCCUUGGUGACUCUGGAUAACUUUGCGGAUCGCACGGUCUAGCACCGGCGACGGAUCAUUCAAGUGUCUGCCCUAUCAACUUUCGUCGGUACGGUAUUUGCCUACCGAGGUUCUUACGGGUGACGGGGAAUCAGGGUUCGAUUCCGGAGAGGGAGCCUGAGAAACGGCUACCACAUCCAAGGAAGGCAGCAGGCGCGCAAAUUACCCAUUCCCGACGCGGGGAGGUAGUGACGAAAAAUAACAAUGCAGGACUCGUUCGAGGCCCUGUAAUUGGAAUGAGUACACUUUAAAAGCUUUAACGAGUAUCCAUUGGAGGGCAAGUCUGGUGCCAGCAGCCGCGGUAAUUCCAGCUCCAAAAGUAUAUAUUUAAGUUGUUGCGGUUAACUCUUUCACUCCCGGCCAAAUGCAUUAAUU
rnacentral:ncRNA from 1 species